AGAAAGUGGAGCAAUCCAUGAGUAAAGUGGCGUACGGGUGAGUAACACGUGGGUAUCCAUUCUUUGGUGGGGAAUAACUUUGGGAAACCGAAGCUAAUACCGCAUAAGUCCGAGAGGAGAAAGGUGAAAACCGCCGAAGAGGGAGCCCGCGGCUGAUUAGCUAGUUGGUGAGGUAACGGCCCACCAAGGCGAAGAUCGGUAGCCGGCCUGAGAGGGCACACGGCCACACUGGCACUGAGACACGGGCCAGACUCCUACGGGAGGCAGCAGUGGGGAAUCUUGCACAAUGGGGGAAACCCUGAUGCAGCGACGCCGCGUGAACGAUGAAGCCCUUCGGGGUGUAAAGUUCUUUCGGCAGGAACGAUAAUGACGGUACCUGAAGAAGCUGCGGCUAACUACGUGCCAGCAGCCGCGGUAAUACGUAGGCAGCAAACGUUGUUCGGAGUUACUGGGCGUAAAGAGUACGUAGGCGGUUUGCCAAGUUUGGUGUGAAAUCUCCUGGCUUAACUGGGAGGGUGCGCCGAAUACUGGCGGGCUUGAGUAUUGGAGAGGAAAGCGGAAUUCCUGGUGUAGCGGUGAAAUGCGUAGAUAUCAGGAGGAACACCGGUGGUGUAGACGGCUUUCUGGACAAUCACUGACGCUGAG
rnacentral:rRNA from 1 species